rnacentral:rRNA from 1 species
GUUGGUUAGCUUGCUAACCGGCGGACAGCGGCGGAAGGGAGAGUAACGCGUGGUUAUGUGCCCUGAAGACCGGGAUAGUGUUGGGAAACUGGCAGUAAUACCGGAUAAUAUCUUUGGAUAAAAGGUGUGAUUCCGCUUCAGGAUCGGACCGCGUACUAUUAGCUUGUUGGUGGGGUAAUGGCCCACCAAGGCUCAGAUGGUUACCGGGUGUGAGAGCAUGACCCGGCUCACUGGGACUGAGACACUGCCCAGACAUCUACGGAUGGCUGCAGUCGAGAAUCUUCGGCAAUGGACGAAAGUCUGACCGAGCGACGCCGCGUGCGGGAUGAAGGCCCUCGGGUUGUAAACCGCUGUCAGUUAGGAGGAAAUCUAUGAGGGCACUCUCUCAUAGUUGACCGAUUUUCAGAGGAAGGACGGGCUAAGUUCGUGCCAGCAGCCGCGGUAAGACGAACCGUCCAAACGUUAUUCGGUAUCACUGGGCUUAAAGCGUGCGUAGGCGGCUUGAUAGGUGAGAUGUGAAAGCCCACGGCCCAACCGUGGAAUUGCGUUUCAAACCCUCAAGCUCGAGGAAGAUAGGGGUGAUGGGAACUUAUGGUGGAGCGGUGAAAUGCGUUGAUAUCAUAGGGAACACCGGUGGCGAAAGCGCAUCACUGGAUCUUUUCUGACGCUGAGGCACGAAAGCUAGGGUAGCGAACGGGAUUAGAUACCCCGGUAGUCCUAGCCGUAAACGAUGAGCACUGGGUUGAGGGAACUAUCACAUUCUCUCGGCCGUAGCGAAAGCG